rnacentral:rRNA from 1 species
ACUCAAAGGAAUUGACGGGGGCCCGCACAAGCGGUGGAUUAUGUGGUUUAAUUCGAAGCAACGCGAAAAACCUUACCUGGGUUUGAAAUCCCGAGAAUUCUCUAGAGAUAGAGAAGUGCCCGCAAGGGAGCUCGGAGACAGGCGCUGCAUGGCUGUCGUCAGCUCGUGUUGUGAAAUGUUGGGUUAAGUCUCGCAACGAGCGCAACCCCUAUUUUUAGUUGCCAGCAUUAAGUUGGGCACUCUAAAGAGACUGCCGGGGUUAACCCGGAGGAAGGUGGGGAUGACGUCAAGUCCUCAUGGCCCUUAUGUCCAGGGCCACACACGUAAUACAAUGGAUGGUACAAAGGGACGCCAACCUGCAAAGGGGAGCUAAUCUCAAAAAGCCAUUCUCAGUCCGGAUUGAAGUCUGCAACUCGACUUCAUGAAGUUGGAAUCGCUAGUAAUCGCGGAUCAGCACGCCGUGGUGAAUACGUUCCCGGGCCUUGUACACACCGCCCGU